rnacentral:rRNA from 1 species
AUUGAACGCUGGCGGCAUGCCUUACACAUGCAAGUCGAACGGUAACAGGUCUUCGGAUGCUGACGAGUGGCGAACGGGUGAGUAAUACAUCGGAACGUGCCUAGUAGUGGGGGAUAACUACUCGAAAGAGUGGCUAAUACCGCAUGAGAUCUACGGAUGCAAGCAGGGGAUCGCACGACCUUGUGCUACUAGAGCGGCCGAUGGCGGAUUAGGUGGUUGGUGGGAUAAAAGCUUACCACGCCGACGAUCUGUAGCUGGUCUGAGAGGACGAUCAGCCACACUGGGACUGAGACACGGCCCAGACUCCUACGGGAGGCAGCAGUGGGGAAUUUUGGACAAUGGGCGAAAGCCUGAUCCAGCAAUGCCGCGUGCAGGAUGAAGGCCUUCGGGUUGUAAACUGCUUUUGUACGGAACGAAAAGCCCCGGGUUAAUACCCUGGGGUCAUGACGGUACCGUAAGAAUAAGCACCGGCUAACUACGUGCCAGCCGCCGCCGUAA